GAGGAAUAUUGGUCAAUGGACGAGAGUCUGAACCAGCCAAGUAGCGUGAAGGAUGAAGGUUCUAUGGAUUGUAAACUUCUUUUAUACGGGAAUAAACGAAUCCACGCGUGGAUUUUUGCAUGUACCGUAUGAAUAAGGAUCGGCUAACUCCGUGCCAGCAGCCGCGGUAAUACGGAGGAUCCGAGCGUUAUCCGGAUUUAUUGGGUUUAAAGGGAGCGUAGAUGGGUUGUUAAGUCAGUUGUGAAAGUUUGCGGCUCAACCGUAAAAUUGCAAUUGAUACUGGCAGUCUUGAGUACAGUUGAGGUAGGCGGAAUUCGUGGUGUAGCGGUGAAAUGCUUAGAUAUCACGAAGAACUCCGAUUGCGAAGGCAGCUUACUAACCUGUAACUGACAUUGAUGCUCGAAAGUGUGGGUAUCAAACAGGAUUAGAUACCCUGGUAGUCCACACGGUAAACGAUGAAUACUCGCUGUAGGCGAUAUACAGUCUGCGGCCAAGCGAAAGCAUUAAGUAUUCCACCUGGGGAGUACGCCGGCAACGGUGAAACUCAAAGGAAUUGACGGGGGCCCGCACAAGCGGAGGAACAUGUGGUUUAAUUCGAUGAUACGCGAGGAACCUUACCCGGGCUUAAAUUGCAACCGAAUAUGGCGGAAACGCUAUAGCUAGCAAUAGCGGUUGUGAAGGUGCUGCAUGGUUGUCGUCAGCUCGUGCCGUGAGGUGUCGGCUUAAGUGCCAUAACGAGCGCAACCCUUGCCGAUAGUUACUAACAGGUUAUGCUGAGGACUCUGUCGGGACUGCCAUCGUAAGAUGUGAGGAAGGUGGGGAUGACGUCAAAUCAGCACGGCCCUUACGUCCGGGGCUACACACGUGUUACAAUGGGGGGUACAGAGGGCUGCUACCACGCAAGUGGAUGCCAAUCCCAAAAACCUCUCUCAGUUCGGAUUGAAGUCUGCAACCCGACUUCAUGAAGCCGGAUUCGGUAGUAAUCGCGCAUCAGCCACGGCGCGGUGAAUACGUUCCCG
rnacentral:rRNA from 1 species